GGUUCUCCUCUCUCCUGCAGGAUGAUUGCCGCCGUGGACACAGACUCCCCCCGAGAGGUCUUUUUCCGAGUGGCAGCUGACAUGUUUUCUGACGGCAACUUCAACUGGGGCCGGGUUGUCGCCCUUUUCUACUUUGCCAGCAAACUGGUGCUCAAGCCCUGUGCACCAAGGUGCCGGAACUGAUCAGAACCAUCAUGGGCUGGACAUUGGACUUCCUCCGGGAGCGGCUGUUGGGCUGGAUCCAAGACCAGGGUGGUUGGGUGAGACUCCUCAAGCCUCCUCACCCCCACCACCGCGCCCUCACCACCGCCCCUGCCCCACCGUCCCUGCCCCCCGCCACUCCUCUGGGACCCUGGG
rnacentral:lncRNA from 1 species